GAUGAACGCUGGCGGCGUGCCUAUACAUGCAAGUCGAGCGAAUGGAUUAAGAGCUUGCUCUUAUGAAGUUAGCGGCGGACGGGUGAGUAACACGUGGGUAACCUGCCCAUAAGACUGGGAUAACUCCGGGAAACCGGGGCUAAUACCGGAUAACAUUUUGAACCGCAUGGUUCGAAAUUGAAAGGCGGCUUCGGCUGUCACUUAUGGAUGGACCCGCGUCGCAUUAGCUAGUUGGUGAGGUAACGGCUAACCAAGGCAACGAUGCGUAGCCGACCUGGGAGGGUGAUCGGCCACACUGGGACUGAGACACGGCCCAGACUCCUACGGGAGGCAGCAGUAGGGAAUCUUCCGCAAUGGACGAAAGUCUGACGGAGCAACGCCGCGUGAGUGAUGAAGGCUUUCGGGUCGUAAAACUCUGUUGUUAGGGAAGAACAAGUGCUAGUUGAAUAAGCUGGCACCUUGACGGUACCUAACCAGAAAGCCACGGCUAACUACGUGCCAGCCGCCGCGGUAA
rnacentral:rRNA from 1 species